GACGAACGCUGGCGGCGUGCUUAACACAUGCAAGUCGAACGGUAAGGCCCCUUCGGGGGUACACGAGUGGCGAACGGGUGAGUAACACGUGAGCAACCUGCCCUUGACACUGGAAUAACAGUUGGAAACAGCUGCUAAUGCCGGAUAUGACCUUCGGUGGCAUCACCUGGAGGUGGAAAGUGCUUAGCGGUCAAGGAUGGGCUCGCGGCCUAUCAGCUAGUUGGGGAGGUAACGGCUCACCAAGGCUUCGACGGGUAGCCGGCCUGAGAGGGCGACCGGCCACACUGGGACUGAGAUACGGCCCAGACUCCUACGGGAGGCAGCAGUGGGGAAUAUUGCACAAUGGGCGCAAGCCUGAUGCAGCAACGCCGCGUGCGGGAUGACGGCCUUCGGGUUGUAAACCGCUUUCAGUUCCGACGAAGCGCAAGUGACGGUAGGAACAGAAGAAGGACCGGCCAACUACGUGCCAGCAGCCGCCGUAAUAC
rnacentral:rRNA from 1 species